rfam:Clostridium symbiosum WAL-14163 genomic scaffold supercont1.5, whole genome shotgun sequence.
AAUACAGUCGGGAAUGAAGUUCUCCCCCAGUAUUGUUUAUACUGAAACCGCUUAUUUGAGCUGAUGACUUCUGCGGAUAC